CCAAUGACAACCCUAAUUUCUUCCCUCUUUCUCUCGCUCUCGGUCUCUCGCCACUAGAAUCGCGGCGUUGCCUUCCUUCCAUCGCCACCAUCAACGACGCAGGCGAAAACAACGCCGCCUUUCUUCUUCCCUCCCCUUCACUCUUUCACAAAUGACAACAAGCCGGCCCUUUUUUCAACCCAAACCGUGUGAGUCGCGAUGCCGCGAUUAACAACUUGUUUAGUCGGUCCAUCAGUCUCCUCCGCGGCUUGAGGGACUACACUCUGUCACGAUUAACAACUCGGCGACUAUGCUAUGCAAGGUGAAAUGAAACUCAUUCGAAGUGUAUUAUUGUCUGCAAAUAUCGAUUUGUCUCACCAAUUUCAAAAGCCUCAAGCAGUUCGAGCUUUUUCUGCCACCCCAUUUUCAGUUCCUCGUGAGCCUUAUCCCUUAAAGAACGAUACCUCUCCAGCUCCAGUUCCAGUUCCAGCUCCAGCUCCAGCUCCCUCCAUCAAUUACUUUGUUGGUUCUUGAAUGCUGGAAUUUUUGAGAAUGGAAUAGAGUCUUGUCACACUGCAACAUUCAGAUUCGAAAUUUUGGAAGCUAUAACCAAGUUUCUUAACCACAACAUCACACUGUGCUUACCCCUCCGUGGCACGAUCUCAGCCUCGGGUGAUCUUGUUCCGUUGUCCUACAUUGCUGGUAUGUUGAUAGGGUGGCCUAAUUCUAAGGCUGUUGGACCCACAGGAGAAACUCUAAAUGUCGAGGAAGCCUUUAAACUUGCUGGUGUAGAUUUAGGUUUUUUGGAGUUGCAGCCUAAGGAAGGCCUUGCACUAGUUAAUUUUCUUUUGUUUGAGAGGAAUGUAAGAUGUUUAUUUGAUGGGCAAUAUGCUAAUAAAAAAAUUUCUUCAAUUUA